UGGAACAGGCCCCAUGGGGUCCCGGGGCGGGCGGGGUCCAGGGGUCGCUGAGGUCCGAGUGGCGACGUUCGAAUCCCGGUGGCUCCCGCGGAGUGUGGGUGCGGGACGCUGGGCUCGGGGUUUCAGACGAGACUCUGGACCACCAGGGGGGAUCUUACGGCCCCUCUGCGGAUGAGAAAACUGACACGUUGCGUGGAGAACCCGGGAUCCCAGCAGUCAGAGAGCUGACUGCAGCACGAAACGCGCCUGGAUCUGAUCCCUUCCUUCCGAAAACUCGUGCAGACCCGAGUCGUCCCACCGCUCCCGCGAGCAAGCCUGUCUUAUCAAGACAGGUCUUUAAAAAAUAACUGUAGGAACAGUAAAAGAUUCGCUGCCUUUUCUUUUUAAAAAAAAACCCAUCCUUCCUCUUCCCUGGUCCUGGGCUCUGGCAUAUCGGCCUUCAAUCUCUGCAGGCAGGGUCACACACAGGCGUAAUGUCAGGAGAAUCUGUAGUAAUCACCGCUCUUUCAUUCCUGAUCUUUGCUGUUGUAAUCAAUUAACAUGGAAAAUGCCAUCUGGAGACAAACACAGAUGACACCGAAGGCAGAGCUGUAGCUGCAAGCCCAGGGACACCAAAGAUCACUGGAAAAUCAUUAUAAGCUGGGAAAUGUUGGAGACCACGGAACAGCAGAACUCUGCAGAAGGCAAAUAUCUAUGGACUCAGAGUUUUAAGUACAGAGUCUCCUUCGAAGACAAGGAUUCCCCGUUUCCCUGCAGCGCUGGAUGCAGCAAGGAAAAAGCAAGAAAGAUUUUCCUGCAGGUCCCAGAGGAAGCAUGGCCCUCUGACACCUUGAUUUCAGACUUUUAGCCUCUAGAACUGUGA